rnacentral:snRNA from 1 species
AACCUUUCUUUGCAUUUUGGCUAAGGUAAGGUGUAUAUUUGUUCUUAUCAGUUUAAUAUCUGAUAUGUGCACUAUAUGUUCGCUUUGAUAUUAAAUUUAUUUUUAUGGAUAUCAAAUAUGUUUGUGUGUCGUUGCAACACACUUAUUUAAAAGGGUGACCCCAA